GACCCCAGGUCAGGCGGGAUUA
rnacentral:rRNA from 3 species